rnacentral:misc_RNA from 1 species
GAUGAAGACGUAGUGAAAUGCGAUAAUUAAUGUGAAUUGCAGAAUUCAGUGAAUCAUCGAGUCUUUGAACGCACAUUGCGCCCCCUGGUAUUCCGGGGGGCAUGCCUGUCCGAGCGUCAUUGCUGCCCUCAAGCACGGCUUGUGUGUUGGGCUUCCGUCCCUGGCAACGGGGACGGGCCCAAAAGGCAGUGGCGGCACCAUGUCUGGUCCUCGAGCGUAUGGGGCUUUGUCACCCGCUCCCGUAGGUCCAGCUGGCAGCUAGCCUCGCAACCAAUCUUUUUAACCAGGUUGACCUCGGAUCAGGUAGGGAUACCCGCUGAACUUAAGCAUAUCAAUAAGCGGAGGA